UCCCUGGUGGCUGAGAUGGUAAAGAAUCUGCCUGCAAUGCAGAAGACCUAGGUUCAGUCUCUGGCUUGGGAA
rnacentral:tRNA from 1 species